ACAACAAAUGUCUCCCAAUUUCAUCCCAUUGGAUCCAACAAAUGCUAUGUUGUAUGGUCCAGGUAAUGAUAUGGUUUCUCUUUGUUAUUUAUUUCAAGUCAUACUUCGUUUGCAUAAUAACUUUGAUUAUUUCACAGUUGGAAAUGCAAUGCCUAAUUACUAUCCACAUGUACCUUACUGACCUGGACCGAACUUGUGAUGCUAGAUGAAGAGAAAUAGCUUAUGGGCUAUGGCUCGUUCGAGCACAACAUUCUCAGAACUGAUGAGUGCUGGUUUGAACGUUGGACCGAACAUUAUUGUCAUAAUUAAGGGCUUCGGAAUAAUGGAUGAUCUUGUUCUUAAUUAUGUAUCCAUAAAUACUUGAUCCUAAAUGUUUUACUAGUUUGCUUGCUUAGAGUUCUAUGAUUCACUUGUUUUGUUGGCGAACUGAGACUAAUAUUUUGCUAAGAAAAGAUGGAAAUUGUAUCAAUUUGAUGGCUCGCAUCAUGUAUUUUCUGUUCUUUAGUUCAUUUUCUUUCCUAUUUCAUCCACUUGCUUAGCAAUAUUGUAGUAAAUAAUUACAGGCUUCUGACCAAUAUUAAUUGUGUUUGCA
rnacentral:lncRNA from 1 species